rnacentral:rRNA from 1 species
AGAAUCAACGCUGGCGGCGUGCCUAACACAUGCAAGUCGAACGAGAAAGUGGAGCAAUCCAUGAGUACAGUGGCGUACGGGUGAGUAACACGUGACUACCUACCCUCGAGUGGGGAAUAACCUCGGGAAACCGGGGCUAAUACCGCAUAACAUCUACGGAUCAAAUGCGUAAGCAGCUUGAGGAGGGGGUCGCGGCCGAUUAGCUAGUUGGUGAGGUAAUGGCCCACCAAGGCAAUGAUCGGUA